rnacentral:misc_RNA from 1 species
AGAAGAAGGUUAUAUUCUUACUACUUCUUCUAGACUCUUGCUCAAAGAUAGCUCCACCAGCUUGACUACCACUGUUCUAGCAAUGCUAGAUCCUGAGCUGAUAACUCCAUGGUUUUCCCUUUCUGACUGUUUCCAAGGGAAUGAGCUCACAGCAUUUGAAACUUAUCAUGGAAUUACUUUUUUGGAAUAUGGGAAGCAAAAUCUUGAAUUUAACAAUUUAUUGAAUGAGGCCAUGGCCUGUGAUUCUCAGUUGGUGAGCUUGAUUGUUAAGAACCAUAAGGAAAUGUUUGAAGGUGUGGCUUCACUGGUUGAUGUAGGGGGUGGAACAGGAACUCUAGCCAGGACAAUUUCUGAUGCAUACCCUCAUAUGAAAUGCACAGUCUUGGAUCUCCCGCAAGUUGUUGCAAACUUGCCAGAGAGCAAAAACGUGAAAUUUGUCGCUGGUGACAUGUUUCAGUCGAUUCCUUCUGCCGAGGCAGUUCUGAUCAAGUCUGUUCUGCAUAACUGGAGCGACGAGGCCUGCGUAAAGAUUUUGAAGCAAUGCAGAGAAGCUAUUGCCAGCACAGACAAGGGAGGAAAAUUGAUAAUUAUAGAAAUGGUGAUUAAUGAAAAGAAAGAUGAAAGUAAUAAUCAGCUGGCAGAAACAAAGCUCUUUGCAGACCUGCAAAUGAUGCUUGUAUGCACCGGAAGAGAGAGAAACGAGCAAGAAUGGGCAAGGCUCUUCUUGGAGGCUGGAUUUAAUCGUUAUAAAAUGACUGCUACUUGUGGGUUAAAUUCCAUCAUUGAGGUUUAUCCAUAGGAAGUCACUUUAUAUGAGUUUCUUGUUUGUUCCUUCUGAGUUGCUGCAUGCAAUCGUUGAGCGAGCAACGCAAUUGCAGCUUAACGUAUCGUGUAGAAGCAACUAUAUUAUAAGUUGCAUCUCUAAUAUAUGUUUAAGUUUAAUGGCCAUUAAUAAUAAUAAUAAUUAAUAAUAUAAAGUGACUUCC